GCCAGUGUGAUGUAGUCGUUUGUGGUUGCUGGACUACAAUUCCAGAGACCAGGGUUCGAAUCCUUGCUCAACAUUGGCU